rnacentral:rRNA from 1 species
GACGAACGCUGGCGGCGUGCUUAACACAUGCGAGUCGAACGGAAAGGCCUCUUUCGGGGGGUACUCGAGUGGCGAACGGGUGAGUAACACGUGAGUAACCUGCCCUUGACUUUGGGAUAACUUCAGGAAACUGGGGCUAAUACCGGAUAGGAGCUCCUGCUGCAUGGUGGGGGUUGGAAAGUUUCGGCGGUUGGGGAUGGACUCGCGGCUUAUCAGCUUGUUGGUGGGGUAGUGGCUUACCAAGGCUUUGACGGGUAGCCGGCCUGAGAGGGUGACCGGCCACAUUGGGACUGAGAUACGGCCCAGACUCCGACGGGAGGCAGCAGUGGGGAAUAUUGCACAAGGGGUGGAAGCCUGAUGCAGCAACGCCGUGGGCGGGAGGACGGCCUUCGGGUUGUAAACCGCUUUCGCUCAUGACGAAGCUUUGUGUGACGGUAGUGGGUAAAGAAGCACCGGCUAACUACGUG